rnacentral:rRNA from 1 species
ACGGGAGGCAGCAGUGGGGGAUAUUGCACAAUGGGCGAAAGCCUGAUGCAGCAACGCCGCGUGAGGGAUGACGGUUUUCGGAUUGUAAACCUCUGUCUUCGGUGAAGAUAAUGACAUUAGCCGAGGAGGAAGCCACGGCUAACUACGUGCCAGCAGCCGCGGUAAUACGUAGGUGGCAAGCGUUGUCCGGAUUUACUGGGUGUAAAGGGAGCGCAGGCGGGGAAUCAAGUCAGUGGUGAAAUGCAUAGGCUUAACCUAUGAACUGCCAUUGAAACUGACUCUCUUGAGUGAAGUAGAGGCAAGCGGAAUUCCGAGUGUAGCGGUGAAAUGCGUAGAUAUUCGGAGGAACACCAGUGGCGAAGGCGGCUUGCUGGGCUUUUACUGACGCUGAGGCUCGAAAGUGUGGGGAGCAAACAGGAUUAGAUACCCUGGUA